rnacentral:rRNA from 1 species
GCCAGACUCCUACGGGAGGCAGCAGUGGGGGAUAUUGCACAAUGGGGGGAACCCUGAUGCAGCGACGCCGCGUGGGUGAAGGAGCGUUUCGGCGCGUAAAGCCCUAUCGGCAGGGAAGAAGGAGGACGGUACCUGACUAAGAAGCCCCGGCUAACUACGUGCCAGCAGCCGCGGUAAUACGUAGGGGGCAAGCGUUAUCCGGAUUUACUGGGUGUAAAGGGGGCGCAGACGGCAAUGCAAGCCAGGAGUGAAAGCCCGGGGCCCAACCCCGGGACUGCUCUUGGAACUGCGCGGCUGGAGUGCAGGAGGGGCAGGCGGAAUUCCUGGUGUAGCGGUGAAAUGCGUAGAUAUCAGGAGGAACACCGGUGGCGAAGGCGGCCUGCUGGACUGCGACUGACGUUGAGGCCCGAAAGCGUGGGGAGCAAACAGGAUUAGAUACCCCGGUAG